UUUCCUCGGAAGUAGCGGCACGACUCCCACAGACGCUGCAACGCAGGUUAUUUCCCACUCCAUUCGUGGUCUACCCCUUCUCCAUUGUGGUGGUUCGUAAAAUGUAAUUCCUACUGAUUCGCUCAUUUGCGAUGUACGGUUCUUAUGGAGCGACCAGUAGUAUGCCAAAUUGCGCAGCAUUUCGAGAAUCUGGUUUACAAAAAGGCCAGGUGCUUUUCUGAACUCUCAAAAAUUAAGUAUCUCUUUUGAUCUAAAAAAUUAAUUGCUCUUUUUUUAAAUUUCUACGAAAUUAUAUGUGUUUUUAAGUAUUUUAUUUAGAUAUUCAUUGUCCGGUUUCAAGGUAAUGAAGAUCCUUGUGAACGUAAUAAUAGUCGCGCGUAUAUAAUCUCGAAAUUGAGACGUGAAUGUGAUCUAGUAGUAGUGAUAUUGUUAUAUAUUUAAAUAUAUUGGAAUACUAUAUGAACUAAAUAAAAAGAAAUUAAUAAAACUGGCAAGAUAAAAUACAAAAUUAAUCAAAUUUCUUUUACGUUGUAUCUAAUGGAAUGAAGUUAUUGGAAGGUUUCUUUUUAUAAGUAAAAUGAUCCGGAUUAUCAAUAUGCAGUAGAAGAAGAAAGUAUUUUUAUUAUCGAUUAAUCUGACUACUUCGUCAUUUUUCUUUAUCUUUAAAGUACGAUGCAGAGCAGACUUCGAAACUUUUAUAACAGUUUUCAGUAUUAAUAAAAAGGACUCAAUAAGAAUGUAUUGUAAUAAUAAUCAAGUAUGAAUACUACAGUGUGGUACGAAUUGUAUUGACAUUAUGUGGCAUCUUCAAUGUUUCAAAAUAGGUAAUUGCGAUUCUGCAUAUUUUCAAUGAUCUAUAAUAAACAGAAAUAUUGUUUUAAAUAAUUCGUUCUUGCGUUUAGUUCUGAUGCAAUUUUCCCAGAUCAGCUCGAUUUAGAGAUGUAUUUUUGGUGGAACUUGAAGAACGAAUUUCUAUACUUCUUAGCCGACCACACUGACUUCCAUUAUAAUCAAAUAGCGUAUACACACGUACGCAUUUGUAUCACCGUUGAAUUAGAUGCAAGUGAAAUGUAAUUCUGUUAUAAGAUAUAAGUUUGUAGAUCAUUGUGGCUGAUGGAAUUACCAAUUAUCUUCACAUUUGUCUAUGAUUCACAUUUUUAAAGGUACUAAAACCUGGUUUCGAGAAAUAUUGCGUCGCAUUCAAAAGAUAUUGUGGUUGAUGAAUCAUUUAUUCUGACUGCACACAUUAUUUUCGCUGUCAUGAACAAU